CGUAGAGGAGUAUAAUGUAAAAGGAUCUAGGUGCUAAACCAUUCAGGGCUUUAUAAGUAUGUGGCGUUACACAUCUUUGUACUGCCCUUUUGUUCAUUUGACUCCUCCUUCCAACUAAAACAUUUUAGGAUUGGAGGACAGUACUAAUUACGAGGAGUGUGUGUAUAUAGGGGGCACGUUCAAAGACUAAGGAGGAGAGUUUUCUUACUGACCAAUUGCUCCGUGGAUGCAGUCUUUGACGGGUGAAUGCUGGAUCUCGGAGGGUGUUUCCGGAAGCUCGCGAAGAGGGGUUGAUGCUACGCUACCGGGUGGGUCCGUUGCUAACAGGCAAUUCGCAUGGCUGGCGAAUUCUCACAGUUUUAAAAACAAUCUGGAAUUUUGCACCUCCCGAAAUCUUUGAUUUGGAGCUGGAGUGGAGAAGGAGCUAAAAUGGGCUGCCGCCGCCGAGGUUCCGAGGUCACUCACCCCCGUGCUGUUUAUUUGGUCAGUUGCUCUCACUAACCACAGAACCCCACACACACACACACAUACACGCACCUAUUUCAUUUUCAAAUCUUUAAAAAGUGUUUUUUUUAUUUCUUUUCUUGUUUGUUCGAUUUAGUUUCUAUUGGUUAUGGAAAAUUGUGUUGUUUAAUUAUUUGAAAAGUGUCCAUAUUAAUGAUGUCAUCAAAUUAAAGUAAAUCUAAAUUGCCUAGAAUUUCUGUUAUCUUUCUUUUGUACACGGAUGGUUUUGUCAGUCCGGUUGUGCUAUCCGGAAUGAACUAAAUUAAAGUGUGACAGGCAUAUAGUAUAUACCUGUCUGGCGCCCGAACAAUAACUGAUUUGUUAUUUUUUUUCAUUCGAGGCUUUCGGCCUGAGAAACAGGUCAAUGUGAGUGCUGCUGAUGUCACAGGUUACGUGUGGCCUAGCGGUUACGACAUUGCGUCGCCACCUGGGGGACCCGAGUUCGGUUCCCACUAAAAAUUUUUUUUUUUGUUUAUUUUAUUUUAUGGUUAUAUUGUGGGGGACAAAUCAACCACCGUUACAGAAAUGGCGCCCGAACAGGGACUUGAACUAAACACCAACUGAUUAUAACCCUUUGAUAUUAUGUGACUGAAUUGUGAGAAAUGUGAGAAUUUUUUUUUUUUGCGCUGUGACUUUCUUGAAGGAACUGAGUAACUGAAUCUUUGUGAAAAGAAAAUUCAUUUGAUGUGUUAUCUCUGUGCUUUUUGAGUGAAAAUUAAAAUAUUGUGGUGUGCUGAAUAGCCUGACUGGACUGUGGUAACUUAAAUUGAGGAUUUCUAUAAAACCGGAUGUUUUGGAUGUGUAUUGUCUGAUGUUGGAAAAAGUUGUAAAUUGACUGUAUAGAGAAACUCUGUUUUUUUGUUUUGUUUUUUAUUUUUGCCCCUGUUGCCAAAAAACACAUACACUGGCUCUGAAUCUUUCAUUUUUUAUUUUUUCCCAACAUUUCAAAUAGUCCCACAUAUUACAAGACAUGGCCACUUCCCCUUCCCCACCUUCCACCUAUGUGGAUAUUGAUGCCCCUGAUGUCCCUAGUAUUUCCACUCCAAUUUGGCCACCUCCUACACAAACUCAUUCAGGCCUUCUUUCACGUAACCCAAACAUGUAUAACAUUUCCACUCCACAUAGUUUCGUUUUCACUGGAACCCCGGUGAAUGUGCCCGCCCCUGCUCUUGCUCCAGUGCAACCUCUUCCCUGGGCCUCAUCAUAUGACAGCAUGCAACUGUGUACAUCUGGUGAUGUUACAUCUCCUUCAAUGGCUCAGCAUGAUCUGCCAGGAAAUCUUCCAACCCCUGGUAGGGGAAUUCAACAAAUUAAUGCUCAUGUUCAUGAUAAUUGGAACAAUCUAAUGGAAUUCAUGAAAGGACAGGAGAAAACUGUAAAAGAGCUUACCCAGGUACUGAAAACCGCAUCUUCUCACCAUGAAAAUCAGAUUACUGAUCUUGCAGCUAAGGUGGAGACCAACAAUCAACAGGUUGUCACACUAAUGACUGCAGGUAAACAACAAGAGGAAGCGGAGACUGACCAAAUGGUUAAGGCUGUGCAACUGAUGAUGUCAAAGGAGAUUCAAAAAAUGGAACUGUCCCUUACUUCUGUAGUCCGGGAUCAGGUAGAGCAGCUACGUGUGGAGAUCCAACAAGAUAUUAAAGCUAUGCAACGUGCACUUCAGGGUAGCCUUGAUCAGGUAACCACCAAUCUUCAGCAAUGUGAAACACAAAUUCACAAAUGUCGUACUGGUGUAGCUGAGCUGCAACAUGAUGUUCAAGUCUUAAAGGAAGACAAGGCUGAAGUGCAAACAGAAAAAAACACUCACGUUUCUAUUUUUCCCCCAACAGAGAUUGUUUCAACACCUUUCAAAAGUGACCAUAUUAAAUUAACAUUUCCCACUUUUGGGCGUCCUACUGAUGAUGCUGACCCCCUGUUGUACUUGACCAAGUGUCAAGAUUUUCUGGCUCUACAUCGUUUAAAUGAUGCAGAUCUCCUGGCUACCUUCCGCACAGUGUUGCAUGGCACUGCACGCGACUGGUGGGAAGUAAGUCGCUUCCAUAUAAACACUUGGAAGGAGUUUGAGUCUGCAUUUCUCUCUGCUUUUUUGUCGGAGGACUAUGAGGAUGAGCUGGCUGAACGUGUCCGCACUAGAGUUCAAGGGGAGAAAGAAUCAGAAAGAGACUUUGCAUUUACUUAUCGAGCAUUGUGUAAAAGAUGGAAAGCCACCUUAACAGAAAACGAGAUUGUCAAAAUGAUCCUAAAAAAUAUCAAGCCUUACCUUGCAAGUCAGUUACGCAGUCGUGUGAACACUGUCGAAGAUUUGGUAAGACUUGGACACCAAUUGGAAAAAGACCAUGAAGAACAGCUUCGGUAUGAAGGUCGUAUGGGCUUUAAACAACAAGCCAAUUCACAAAAACAAUUAUCCAACCGAUCUGCUGAGAAACCGCUUGUUCAGUGUUGGAGAUGUAAUGGACCACAUCCUCCAGGAAACUGUCCAAAGUAUGUACAUCCUCCUUCUCCGCAGUCUUCUGGUCAACAUCAACAACAUUUCACCCAUGGAAAGUAUUCUCACCACUCUGCAAAGUCAGGAGGCCGACCAUCCAAUAACACUGUAGCAGCCUCUGAAAUACCACAGGUACAAGCAGAAACUCAGAAGAUUCCAAGAUCAAAUGCAUUCAUGACCAUACCUCAACAAUUAGUAGUUCCAAUUAGCAUUGGAUCUUGGUCUGGGAAAGCGAUCGUGGAUACUGGAGCAAGUUAUACGUUAAUUCAUGAGAAUCUUAUGGAGCAAAUUGCAAACCCUCUUCAUCUCCAACCUUGGUCCUGUGGUCCUCUUUACUUAGCUAAUGGCAAAGCUGAGGGUCCUUUGGGAUGGAUAAACAUUAAUGUUCAUCUGCACAAAAAAUCCAUCACAGUACCUGCUGUGGUUCUCCCUUCUCAAGCUCUUGCUUAUGCCAUCAUCUUGGAAUUGGACUUCAUUUUUUUCAGUGGCUUGCAAAUUAAUGUCAGUGAACAAAAAUAUUCUUUUCAGUCAGACCCUUCUGAAGAACAUCCAUUCCAACCUGGAAAUGCUAGUGAACCACUGGUGAACUCACCACUAAUGAAGGAAAAGAAAAGAACUAGCAAUGGCAAACUAAACCUAACCUUGUUAAGUGCUGUUCCUCCUCCCUUAACCAUGUUACAAACUGACAGUGUGGAUGAUGCAACCUUAAUUAGAGAUGCUGUAAGUAAAGCACAUCUACCUAUGGGUGGAAAACAACAGCUACUUCAGAUAUUAGAAAGCAACCCACAAGUAUGUACUCACCAAACUGGGCGAACAGAUGUCCUACAACAUUACAUCUAUACUACCUGCCAGGUUCCUAUCAAACAACGGCCAUAUUGGUUAUCCCCUGUCAAGCAACAAGCAAUGGAGGAACAAUUGGAAGUAAUGUUGAAAGAGGGGAUUGUGGAGCCAUCACAUUCUGCUUGGGCUUCACCUGUAGUUCUGGUUCCAAAGAAAAAUGGAAAGUUAAGAUUCUGUGUAGACUACCGUAAAGUGAAUGGAAUUACUGAAAAUGACGCUUACCCUCUUCCGAACAUCACUGAGAUCCUAGAAUCACUCUCCGGGGCAUCCAUUUUCUCCACUCUAGACCUUAACUGUGGAUAUUGGCAAGUGAUGAUGGACCCUGAUAGUAAAGCCAAGACUGCUUUUAUCGUGUCUGCAGGUCUGUAUCAUUUCAAUGUCAUGCCUUUCGGGUUAAAAAAUGCCCCUGCUACCUUCCAGAGGCUGAUGGAGACAGUCCUGGGGGAGCUAAGAAAGAAAAUAUGCUUUGUCUAUAUUGACGACAUUAUCAUUUAUUCUUCAUCAGUAGUUCAACACUUCUAUGACCUGAAAACUGUUCUCCACAGGCUGGAAACUGCCGGUCUCACUAUUAACUUGAAAAAGUGAAAUUUUUUCCUUCCAAAAAUCACCUUUCUAGGACACGUGGUGAGCAAUAAGGGCAUCACAGCUGAUCCAAGUAAAGUUGAAGCCAUUCGUGCCUUUCCUGCUCCCAACACCUUGAAGGAAGUUCAGAGGUUCUUGGGAUUAGCCGGUUGGUACCACCGGUUUGUGCCAAAUUUUUCUAAAAUUGCUGAGCCCCUCAAUUCCCUGAAAAAAAAGGGACAGGUGUUUAAAUGGACAAAACAGUGUCAGCAAGCGUUUGACCAGUUAAAAGCAUGCCUUACCUCGCCCCCCAUUCUCGGCCACCCUGAUCUGCAAGUCCCGUUCAUUGUUUACACAGAUGCCAGUGAUACUGGACUGGGUGCCAUUCUCUCGCAGAGAAAAGAACUAGGUAGGGAGGAGGUUAUUGCAUAUGCCAGUCGAACAUUAACUGGAGCAGAGAUCAACUACACGGCAACAGAAAAAGAGUGUCUGGCAGUUAUAUGGGCCUUAGAGAAGUGGCAACAUUACCUGGAAUACAAGCUUUUCACGGUUGUCACAGACCAUUCCGCUCUACAAUGGGUCAUGGGAUCCACUAAGACCAACAGCCGCCUCAUCCGAUGGGUCUUAAGAUUGCAAAAAUUCAACUUUGUCAUUGAAUACCGUAAAGGGAAAUUAAACGUCGCCCCUGAUGCUCUGUCCAGGUCAUCAGUCACAGCAAAGACUCCUAUCACAGCACUUUACACCAAGCAACAGACGGAUCAACUUUCAGAGCUUCCAGUGACCGAUAUUGUUCUGUGGGAAGAACAGCAUAAAGACUGUGAAGUAAUAAAGUUGUUACAAGCAGUAGCAGAAGAGCAAAGCCCUCAAACAGACCAAUACGAAGUGGUAGAAGACAAGCUGUAUCACAAAUCUCACCUGAAAAAUGAUCAAAUACACUAUAGAGUGUAUGUUCCCAGCAGUCUCCGGCCAACUCUCCUGCAACAUUAUCAUUCACACCCCCUGAGUGGUCAUAGAGGAAUUUAUAAGACCUAUAAACGACUCCAGGAAGUAACGUUUUGGCCAGGGAUGUGGACGGAUGUGAAACAUCAUGUCAAGGAAUGUGUGAAAUGCCAAACCCUUCGACAUGAUAACCAGAAACCUGCAGGGAAACUCCAAGUAGUUACCACCACUAAACCAAACCAAAUGCUGGGAGUUGAUAUUAUGGGCCCACUACCCCGGAGUACACAGCAAAAUGAGUACUUACUGGUUUUUGUGGAUUAUUACUCACGAUGGGUUGAGUUCUUUCCCAUGCGUAACGCCACCGCUCAGAAUAUUGCAACAAUUCUCAGAAAAGAAAUCUUAACUCAUUGGGGAGUCCCAGACUUCAUUCUCUCUGAUAGAGGCACCCAGUUUGUCUCAUCUGUGUUCAGAGAAGUAUGUGAAAAAUGGAGGGUAACACCGAAGUUAACUACAGCAUAUCAUCCUCAAACAAACAUGACAGAACGAGUAAACAGAACUCUUAAGAGUAUGAUUGCAUCAUAUGUGGAUGAAAACCACACGAAAUGGGACCAGUUCUUACCAGAAAUGAGAUUCGCCAUUAAUUCUGCAAUUCAGGAAACCAUUGGAUUAACUCCUGCAGAAUUGCAGCUUGGAAGGAAACUGGAAGGGCCUAUGGACAAAAUGCUGCAUGGUCCAAAUCUCACUCCUGACACCACCUCCUAUGACGUUGUUUCUCACAUACAACAUCUGCAAUCUCAAGUUAAAGAGAGUAUCAGAAAAGCCCAACAUCGACAACUUCGGAACUAUAACAAAAGAAGACGAGACAGCACUUUCAAGAUCAAAGACCGGGUAUGGCUGCGAAAUUUUCCCCAAUCUAGUGCACAACACAAGUUUAGUGCCAAAUUGGCACCCAAAUGGAAAGGGCCUUACCGGGUUCUGAAGUCACUGGGACCUUUAAAUUAUCGCAUAGCGUUGGAGACCACUGGAGAAGAUGUGCGCACGGCACAUGUGUGCAAUCUUAAAAUGUGUUUUCCCACAGCUGAGCAGUUGGAGGACCAAGCAAAGAAAAGACUUCAAGACAUCUUUCAAGAAACCUCAGAUGAGGAGGAAUUUUUAGGAUUUUGAUUCUUCUUCCAUAACAACCAUGGGUUGUUUCAUCCUGGGGGGGAGAAUGUGGCGUUACACAUCUUUGUACUGCCCUUUUGUUCAUUUGACUCCUCCUUCCAACUAAAACAUCUUAGGAUUGGAGGACAGUACUAAUUACGAGGAGUGUGUGUAUAUAGGGGGCACGUUCAAAGACUAAGGAGGAGAGUUUUCUUACUGACCAAUUGCUCCGUGGAUGCAGUCUUUGACGGGUGAAUGCUGGAUCUCGGAGGGUGUUUCCGGAAGCUCGCGAAGAGGGGUUGAUGCUACGCUACCGGGUGGGUCCGUUGCUAACAGGCAAUUCGCAUGGCUGGCGAAUUCUCACAGUUUUAAAAACAAUCUGGAAUUUUGCACCUCCCGAAAUCUUUGAUUUGGAGCUGGAGUGGAGAAGGAGCUAAAAUGGGCUGCCGCCGCCGAGGUUCCGAGGUCACUCACCCCCGUGCUGUUUAUUUGUCUUGCUGGCUGUAAUCUCACUGGUCCGUGUUGUGAGAGAUUGUCUUCAGCUCUACAAUCCUCAAACUGUGUCCUGAGAGAGCUGGAUCUGAGUAACACUGACCUGCAGGACUCUGGUGUAAAGAUUAUUUCUGAUGGACUGAAGAGUCCAAACUGUCAGCUGAAGAUACUGAGGUAUUUAAUAACAUAUGAUAGAUAAUUUACAGUCAACUGGUCACAGUGUUGAUGUGUGUCUAUAGUUGAUAAGGGUGGAGGAGAGCACUGGUUAUUCACUCCCUCCCUUGAUACUCGAAACCCACAACCGUCAGGUUACAAGUCUGACUUUUAGCAUUCCUGCAAAUUUAGCCAACAACGCUUUAAAAAAGGCCUCUCCAAAUUAAAUAGCUUGCUGUUCUUGAACCAUUUGGAGUAUAUGCAUGUCUCUUUUGAAAGAGGACACUUUGAGGUUUGUACCUGAAGUGUCAGAAUCACUGUAAGUCUUACUGAGUAAUAGAACUUUGAACACACUAAAAAAGGGGGAAGAAAUUUCCGCCUACAUUUUUUUUUUUUGUAAAAACAUGCCUGCAGAUAACUCCAGCUGGGAGGUAUUAGCUGGAAAACACAAUGGGAUCACAGCAUGAAGCCUUACCAAACCCAGUUUAAAAUUUGAUGAUAAUACCUUGGAUAAUGAGUGUUUUACACAUGUUUAUCUAAGUUUAUGUCUAGGCACUCCCCAAAAAAGGCCACUUGGACACCCCAAAUGACCCUUUGUAACCACAGACACAUAACAUGCUGCUAUUCUUGAAUGCUUUACUCUACAGUCAUAAUUUUGGGCUCUAAUGAAAGGUUACACUUAGAGCUAUUAUAUACUUUAUCCAGAUUCACUGUCAGUAAUUGCUGAUACAUAGUAACUGAAGUAUAAACACAUUAUAGUGUUUUUUUUUUUCAAUUCUUGAAACCAAACUUUCUACAAAUAAAGAGACAAAACAACUGCUAUGUAUUAAACACUUUAAUAUUAGAACUCACACUGUAAAUUAUAUAUAUAUAUAUAUCUACUCAAACAUCUACUCAAAAAAAAGUAUGGGUGCUCUACAACAGAUCCCACCUAACGUAACACCCAACACCUAUCAAAUGUUAUUAGCAACAUGCCAAUCAUUAUAACAAUCCCUAUUUGGAAUAAAGCACAAAGGCACAUCGCAGGAGGAGCACUUUACUGGUGUUUUUACCUGGCAGUGUCUGCACCUCAGACGACCUGCAGUGCUGUGUCCACUGAUAUGCACCGGCUUAUGAUGUGCAGUGUGUGGUGUUUGUGAUGGAGCAGGUCUGCCAGCUGCUGCUGCCAGCUCCUCAACUAGUGUCACCCUAAAGGCCUUUUGGUGCAUGGGUACCUGUCCUUUUCCUUUAGUGAUGUCCUUGUAGAGAAGGAAGGCAUUCACUACUGCAAUGUCCAUGAAGUGAUAAAAAAAAGUCUUAUACCACUUCUGGGUCUUGUGGAUGACUUUAUAAUAACUUAUCAGGGCAACCGAUAGGUCCACUCCACCCAUGCACCUGUUUGGACAUAAAAAACAACAACAUUGAGAUACUUUAUUUCAUUUCAAAUAGCAUAAAAGAUUGUUGAUUAUAUAAUACGUACCGGUUGUACUCCUUCACUGCUGGUGGGAUAGAGAUGUCCUUCAACACCCAGCGCCCAUCUGGAUCUCUGACUCUCCUCUGAACCGUGUUCCCCGCAUGGGCUGUGUGGAGUGUGGAACACAUAAACACGUCCCUUGUGUCUCGACACUGAACAAAGAGGAGGGAGUCCUUCCGGAUCCAUCUUAUACUCCCACGCGGAGAUUUAGGAUCGAGAACAUUGAUUUGUUUUUGGAAACCCAAUUCUGCUUGUAGCCUGUGCCAAGCAACUGGGUGUCGAAGGGUCUGAAGGUAGGCUGUGUUGGUGUCACGUCUGGAAUGUCAACAUCAUUCCAUCCAUUUUCAGAAGUGCUGGAAGAAAUUUCAACUUGACUGCUGCUGCUGCCAGAUCUCCCUCUGCCUCUCCCCCUCCCCCGUGCUCUGCCUCUUGGUGUUUUGGUGGUAGAACGUCUCUGGGAAGGUGGAGGAUGGGACUCCUUUCCUGAUGAGGUGCUUUCAUUCUGUCCCUCAGUAUUUUGUUUCUUACUGACUGGCUCCCAGACUUCAUCAGAUUUCAUUUUCAGAUGAUGGUCUGUGAUAUAAAA